rnacentral:tRNA from 1 species
AUUUAUAUAGUAUAAGAAGUAUAUGUGACUUCCAAUCAUAAGGUUUGUAUAAUGCAAUAUAAUUA